GACGAACGCUGGCGGCGUGCUUAACACAUGCAAGUCGAACGGAAAGGCCCUGCUUUUGUGGGGUGCUCGAGUGGCGAACGGGUGAGUAACACGUGAGUAACCUGCCCUUGACUUUGGGAUAACUUCAGGAAACUGGGGCUAAUCCCGGAUAGGAGCUCCUGCUGCAUGGUGGGGGUUGGAAAGUUUCGGCGGUUGGGGAUGGACUUGCGGCUUAUCAGCUUGUUGGUGGGGUAGUGGCUUACCAAGGCUUUGACGGGUAGCCGGCCUGAGAGGGUGACCGGCGACAAUGGGACUGAGAUACGGACCAGACUCCUACGGGGGGCAGCAGUGGGGAAUAUUGCACAGUGGUCGGAAGCCUGAUGCAGCAACGCCGCGUGCGUGAUGACGGCCUUCGGGUUGUAAACCGCUUUCGCCUGUGACGAAGCGUGAGUGACGGUAAUGGGUAAAGAAGCACCGGCUAACUACGUG
rnacentral:rRNA from 1 species